CCUACGGAAGGCAGCAGUGGGGAAUAUUGGACAAUGGGCGAAAGCCUGAUCCAGCCAUGCCGCGUGUGUGAAGAAGGCCUUCGGGUUGUAAAGCACUUUCAGUGGGGAAGAAAGCCUUGGGGCUAAUACCCUCGAGGAAGGACAUCACCCACAGAAGAAGCACCGGCUAACUCCGUGCCAGCAGCCGCGGUAAUACGGAGGGUGCGAGCGUUAAUCGGAAUUACUGGGCGUAAAGCGCGCGUAGGCGGUCUGAUAAGCCGGUUGUGAAAGCCCCGGGCUCAACCUGGGAACGGCAUCCGGAACUGUCAGGCUAGAGUGCAGGAGAGGAAGGUAGAAUUCCCGGUGUAGCGGUGAAAUGCGUAGAGAUCGGGAGGAAUACCAGUGGCGAAGGCGGCCUUCUGGACUGACACUGACGCUGAGGUGCGAAAGCGUGGGUAGCAAACAGGAUUAGAUACCCUAGUAGUC
rnacentral:rRNA from 1 species